rnacentral:rRNA from 1 species
GACAGAGGAUGCAAGCGUUAUCCGGAAUGAUUGGGCGUAAAGCGUCUGUAGGUGGCUUUUCAAGUCCGCCGUCAAAUCCCAGGGCUCAACCCUGGACAGGCGGUGGAAACUACCAAGCUGGAGUACGGUAGGGGCAGAGGGAAUUUCCGGUGGAGCGGUGAAAUGCGCAGAUAUCGAGAGGAACACCUGCGGCGAAGGCGGGUUGCUGGGCCGACACUGACGCUGAUGCGCGAAAGCCAGGGGAGCGAACGGG